GCCCUCGGUUUGCGUGCAGUGAAAAGAAGAAAAUUAAAUUCUUUUUUAUUUUUUUCUCUCUUUCUUCCUUCUUUCAGCCCUCGCGAGCCUUUUCUUCCCCAACUCUUUUCCAACAACCGCUUGUGGUUCGAUAGGUCAUCACCACCUCCUCACGCCUCAGUCUAGUCGUGCUUCAUCUGCCGCUCGACCGUGGUUCUUCUGCUUCCAGCCGCGCGAGAUUUCAGUUGCAAGUCCAGCCAUGCCGCUCGACCGCUGCUCUCCAUCAACCGCGCCGUGCGAUUGCUGCUUUUUGCUAGUCGCGUUGCACGUUGACGCUCUCUGCCAGUCGAGUUUCUUCGAUUUUUCGUUCUCGUUCUUGCGUUCGCCAGUCGUCGAUCGCUUCUGUUCUGCCAAGAACUUGGUCUUUGGUGAGAUUUAAGUUUUUGGUUUUUAGUUAAUGGGUUUUGAAUGCCUAUUGAUUUUGGUCUAAUUUAAGUUUACUCAGGGUACGUUGUUGCUUAAUACGGGGUUUCAAGAUAUUUUUUCGGUACUUUCCAACAACAUCAAAGUUCUCUUGGGUGCCUUUUGGUAGGCUAUAAUGGUUGUUCUGAUUUAAAUCUUGUUUUCCCCAGUUGGUUUGAUGAAUAUUUGUGUUAAUUGGAUUUUAGAAUUGAGUUUUGAAACAUUUCAAUUUGGCUUAUGACUGGUUUGGAUUCCGUACUUGGAGCUCAGGUGUAGUUCUGGUUAAGUCGACAUUUUUGGGGCAAUUCGAGCAUUUGACUUAAGUCAGAGGGAUUUGAUUGAUAGUUGGAGUUUGGUUGUUAAUUGUUCGAUAUAAAUUCGAGCUUUCAACCUCUGUGCACUGCCCUCCUUUGGUAAGGGAAGAACCGGGCGUCGUACGAGCGAAGGACAAGAUCCUAAGACCAACUACGACCCAGAGAUUGAAAGAAAUUUCCGAAAAAGAAGAAGAAACAACCGCCGACAAUAGCAAGAGAGAAAUCCCAACAUGGUGGAGCAACCAGAAGACAGAGCACCAAACGCAGAUAAUUUCAUGGCGAACCCCAUUCUCCUGGCGAAUGACUGCAAUAGGCCCAUUCGGGACUAUGCAUCGCCCAACCUCUAUGAUUUCUCACAGGAAUCAUGAGGCUAGCCCUGGACGGAUCGAGGUUCAAGAUGAAGCUGAUUAUGCUGUAGAUGAUUUAGACUGCCGAACAGUUUGGUGGAAGACGUGGCGAGGAUCCGCAUGCCCAUCUCCGAAGUUUUAUUAAAAUUUGCAAUAUGUUUGUGUUCCCAAACAUUUCAACUGAGGAGGUUCAACUAAUGUUGUUCCCAUUUUUAUUAUACGAUCAAGCAAGGAAAUGGGCCUAUUCUCUCGAACCAGGGGAGAUAACAUCUUGGGAAUAAGUAGUUGAGAAGUUCAUGAAGAAGUACUUCUCCCUGACAGAGAAUGCAAGAAGGAGGAAGUUGAUUACAAAUUUUAAACAGGAUAUUUACGAAUUGCUCAGUGAUGCCUGGGUGAGGUUUAAGAGACUAGUGCGAGAUUGUCCGCACAAUGGCUUACCUGAUUGUCUCCAAAUGGAAAUCUUUUAUCACGAUUUAAACCUUGCAUCGUAGACGGCUACCAAUGCGACAAUAGUUGGAGGUCUGCUGGACAAAACGUAUGACGAGGUGAAAAAUAUCCUUGAUCGCAUUUCGAAGAAUCACAAAAACUAGAGGGAAAGCGAUCAAUGACUUAGAAUUAAAGAAGGUGACGCAAGUAAUGAGUCCAUCGCAUCCCUACAAAAUCAAAUGAAUACAAUGAUGAAUCUAAUACAAGGCAUCACAAUCAGCGGCUCGGGAACACAUCAAGGGCAGGUCAACACAAUCGAUCAAACGAGCGCAAGUUGUGACACUUGCGGAGAAGUCCAUGCGAUGGAAGAGUGUCCGAGGAAUCCAUAAUUUGUUUAUUUCGUAAAAAAGCUGCGAUAUCUAAUUUUGUGAGGUUUGUCGUGGUAAUAUUAUCACAAAACAUUAUAUUUAUAUCAAAAUUUUAAUAUGUAUCAAAUAUGCAAAAUAACAUGUAAUUUAUUAAUUAUAAUAAAUAUAAAAAAAACCCACCUACCUUUAAAACUUACCUUCAACGGGGAAAACAAUAGAGCUCGUGCUGAUAACGUGUUGUAAAAUUAAGGAGCACAAGGGGAAUAUGGAUAUGGAUAAGAUAUUAUAUGAUAAUAAAAUAACUAAAAUUAUACAAUUAUGAAGAUUGGAAAAUUGGAAAUGGGAAAAUAUAUGAAAUUCUCUUUUUUUCAACUCACCAAUGUGUGCUUUUUUCAUGAUCCACCUGUUGGGGUUGAUGCUCUAAAUCUCGUAGGGUCCCAUAGUUUGUAAUUGUAAUGUAUAAACAUUUUAUUUAU